rnacentral:rRNA from 1 species
AGAGUUUGAUCCUGGCUCAGGACGAACGUUGGCGGCGUGCCUAAUACAUGCAAGUCGAACGAAGUCGCCCAAUUGAUUCUUAGUGCUUGCACUAAGAUGAUUUUGGAUCCGACUGAGUGGCGAACUGGUGAGUAACACGUGGGUAACCUGCCCAGAAGAAGGGGAUAACACCUGGAAACAGAUGCUAAUACCGUAUAACAACAAGAACCACAUGGUUCUUGUUUGAAAGCUGGCCUUUGUGCUAGUGCUUCUGGAUGGACCCGCGGCGUAUUAGCUAGUUGGUGAGAUAAUAGCUCACCAAGGCAAUGAUACGUAGCAGACCUGAGAGGGUAAUCUGCCACAAUGGGACUGAGACACGGCCCAUACUCCUACGGGAGGCAGCAGUAGGGAAUCUUCCACAAUGGACGAAAGUCUGAUGGAGCAACGCCGCGUGAGUGAAGAAGGGUUUCGGCUCGUAAAACUCUGUUGUUAGAGAAGAACAGCCGUGAGAGCAACUGCUCACGGUAUGACGGUAUCUAACCAGAAAGUCACGGCUAACUACGUGCCAGCAGCCGCGGUAAUACGUAGGUGGCAAACGUUGUCCGGAUUUAUUGGGCGUAAAGGGAGCGCAGGCGGUUUAUUAAGUCUGAUGUGAAAGCCUUCGGCUUAACCGGAGAAGUGCAUCGGAAACUGAUAAACUUGAGUGCAGAAAAGGAUAGUGGAACUUCAUGUGUAGCGGUGAAAUGCGUAGAUAUAUGAAGGAACACCAGUGGCGAAGGCGGCUAUCUGGUCUGUAACUGACGCUGAGGCUCGAAAGCAUGGGUAGCAAACAGGAUUAGAUACCCUGGUAGUCCAUGCCGUAAACGAUGAUUACUAGGUGUUGGAGGAUUGACCCCUUCAGUGCCGCAGUUAACACAAUAAGUAAUCCACCUGGGGAGUACGACCGCAAGGUUGAAACUCAAAGGAAUUGACGGGGGCC